UAUUCAUACUGAAACUUACAAAGUUGUUCUUUU
rnacentral:tRNA from 1 species